CCUACGGGGGGCAGCAGUGAGGAAUAUUGGUCAAUGGGCGAGAGCCUGAACCAGCCAAGUCGCGUGAAGGAAGAAUGUCCUAUGGAUUGUAAACUUCUUUUUUAGGGGAAUAAAGUGCACCACGUGUGGUGUUUUGUAUGUACCCUACGAAUAAGGAUCGGCUAACUCCGUGCCAGCAGCCGCGGUAAUACGGAGGAUCCAAGCGUUAUCCGGAUUUAUUGGGUUUAAAGGGUGCGCAGGCGGGAUAAUAAGUCAGUGGUGAAAGUUUGCAGCUU
rnacentral:rRNA from 1 species